UACGUAGGCAGCAAGCGUUGUUCGGAAUUACUGGGCGUAAAGAGUGUGUAGGCGGUGCUCUAAGUCUGUUGUGAAAUCUCCCGGCUUAACUGGGAGGGUGCGGCGGAAACUGGAGUGCUAGAGGGUGGGAGAGGAAAGCGGAAUUCCUGGUGUAGCGGUGAAAUGCGCAGAUAUCGGGAAGAACACCCGUGGCGAAGGCGGCUCUCUGGGACGGUACUGACGCUGAGACGCGAAAGCGUGGGGAGCGAACAGG
rnacentral:rRNA from 1 species